GAGUGAUCGAAAGAUGAAAAGCACUUUGAAAAGAGGGUUAAAAAGUACGUGAAAUUGUUGAAAGGGAAGCGCUUAUGACCAGACUUGUGCCCUGCGGAUCAUCCAGCCUUCUGGCUGGUGCACUUCGCUUGGUUCAGGCCAGCAUCGGUUUUCUGAGGGGGAUAAAAGCUUCAGGGACGUGGCUCCUCCGGGAGCGUUAUAACCUGUUGCAAAAUACCCCUCGGGAGACCGAGGUUCGCGCAUCUGCAAGGAUGCUGGCGUAAUGGUCAUCAGCGAC
rnacentral:rRNA from 1 species